CAAAGACAAAAAAAAAAAACAAUAAGCUUUGGUUAGGGUUUUAAUUUUCUCUCUUCUUACCCAUUGCACUAGCCGUCACUCUCUUUCUCCCUCACCCUUACCCUCACCUUCGCCUCUCUCUCUCUCUCUCUCUCCCUCUCUCCUUGCCUCCCUCACCUGUUCGAAUCCGUACUCACAGUUCAGAACAACGAACUCGUGGAGCUAUAGUCAUGGAAAGUGUUCGUUGGGUUUCAACACAACGAGUUCUUGGUUUUGGCCACUAACGCCGUGAUUGGUAACGGAGGGACUGGCUUGCCGGCGAGUGUGGGGAACGGCACCGUUUGGUCGGGUACCUGAUGACGGAUCUGAAGACGGCAAUCGAAACAGCUAGGGACUUGACCCAGAUGCGAGUUCAGGUCAGCAUGGAAAUCAACUAAGGGUGGUGGUGUCAGUUUUGAGCAAGUGGGGGUGUCUCUGGCUUUGGAAUUAUAUAUGUUCGAGAGAGAGAUUGCUGGCUGUGUCUCCUAAGCUGACCUCUUUGCCUGGACUCCUUGGGUUUUGUUACCAAUCUAGGAAGCAACCAUGUCUUUUGGGGUCUCUUCAAGUGAAAAGGGGUGUUAAACCUCUGCUUGGACUUGCUUCUUAUUGUUUGAAGAAGUUUGGAUUUUAUUGGUGGUGCUUCUGCUUCUGUGAUUCUCUUCCUAUAACAUUUUAGCAAAAUGAAGUUCCUGAAACUUGGAUCUAAGCCUGACUCUUUUCAGAUUGAUGGAGACAAUAUUAGGUCUACUUGCUUCUUUUGUAGCUUGGAUCAGCCAAAUGCCACAGUUCGUGCUAGAGUCGGAAAUCCCAAAGAGGGGGUGGACUGAUUAGAGAUGAGCAAGGGCAAUGGGUAGGGGUUUCACCAGAAAAAUUGGGAAGAUUAACAGUUUCAUGGCAGAUGCUUGGGCUCUCCGAGAUGGUCUUGUUCUAUGCAAUCAAAUGAAGGUGUCUAAGGUCAUUGUUGAAUCAGACGCCAAAGCUGUAGUAGAUGCUCUGAAUAACCGGGGCUCUCACAACUCAGCGUUCUCUCCUCUCUUCAAUGAUUGUAGACAGUUGGCCUCAAAUAUUCCCUAGGUAGUUUUUAGGCACAUUUAUCGCGAAGCUAACUCUUGUGUGGAUUGGCUUGCCAACUUGGGUCGUUUGCAACAAUUAGAUUUUGUUUUACAUUCCAGUCCGCCUGUGGACUUAGUUUCUUUUGUCUUGGCAGAUUGCCAGGGAGUGUACUCUAAAAGGCUUGGACCUGCUCCUCUAUUUUCUUCUUAGUGAUUGUUUGGAUAGCAUUGCGUUUCUGCGUUUUUGCGUUUUCCUUUUUUUUUUUUUUUUUUUUUUUUCCACAAGCGGCUACUGUUCAUGCAAUAGUAGCCGCAACUUUUGACUGGUCUGCUAUGAACAGUGCAUGGAUGCACUGUUCAUGGACCCACAAAUUUCAUUUUUUAUCAAUUUUUUCAUUAAAAAUGGGUCCCACAACACUAUUCACACAUUUAAAAAUUAUUUUGCUAUAGUGUUUUCAGUUUUCAGUUUCAGCAAAAUAAGUUCUAUUCAAACACACCCUUAGUUUAAUAUAAUGUUUCCUUUUCACCAAAAAAAAAAAAAAAAAGAAAAAAAAAAGAA